AGUGAAUAAUGUACUUUGUGUCAUGCUAUUUUUUUUUCUUUUUCGUUAUCCGCCUAUUGGUGCGCAUUACAGCCUACAAUUGCAGAAAUGGGUACAGGAUUCUUCAAGGGGAAAUGGAAUAACAACAGAGAUUCUGAUUCGUGCAAAGGCAAAAAGGGUGAUGUCAACGAAUGGAACAAAAGUUCUCCAGCCUUCCCCUGUUCAACUGGAACCUGGAAAACCCCCUUCAGCUUCUUUCUGGAGUGCCUUUCGCCGGAUGUGCCUUCCAGCUUCAAGAGGAACGAGUGUUUAUUACAAAGGAAAAGAAGAUUUAAAA